GGGGAUGUGGCUCAAGUGGUAGUGCGCACACCUAGCAUGAGUGAGGCACUGGGUUCGAUUCUCAGCACCACA
rnacentral:tRNA from 1 species